CUUUACUGUGAGCUGGGUGUGCAUACGAGACUCACAAUUUCACCUGUGUACUGGGCCAUGUUAUGACACUCUAUACAAUCCAAAAGCUUUAUAAAAUAUGUGUGGGUAUUAUAGUCUUCUGUGACCUUUUUACCAGAAAAAGAUCCAGGAUAUCACUCCUGUCCCUAAACCUAGUUAUGAGAGUCCAAAUUUUCCUACUGGCUGGGUCCACAUAUGACAGUCAUUAUCAUGCCUGUGAGCUGUGCCUAGGUAUAUGUCACAAUCCCCUCUGUGGUUUUGAGACAGAAAGGACAGCCACAUCACCUAAAUGCUGGGCCAGAAAUAUUCCAAUAUUAUCCUUGUAGGCAAGGCCCUGGCAGAAAAUUCGCAUAACAUGGGUGCUAGGCCCAGCUCUGAGGCACAAUGCCUCUUGUGGGCAGUGUCCAGGCAGGAUAGGAAAUUCAUGUCACUUAAAUUAUGGGCCCAGAGAUACGUCACAAUGCCUCAUGCGAACAGGGUUCAGGUAAGAAAGUCAUAUCAUUUGGAAGCAGUGCUUAGAAAUGCUACAAUCUCCACAGGAAGCAGGGUUCAGGCAGGAGAGGAGAAUCAUGUAACCUAGAUGCUGGGUAUAAAGGUAUGCUACAAUCCCCCGCUGAGGACACUGUUAAAACAAGAGAGUCAAAUCACUAAGGAGCCUGGCCCUGGUAUAUGUCAAAAUCUCAUGUGUGUGCUAGACCUAAGAAGAGUUAUUAAAUCACUCAGGAGCUGGGCAAAGGUAUAUGUCACAAAAACACCUGUGGAAAGGCCCAGAGAUGAGAGUCACCAUUCUGAACAUGUCCUGGCUUCAGGCAUGAAUACUGGUCUCAGGUUUAUGGUGCAAUCUCACCUAGGCAAUUGGUCUAGAUAUAUGUCACAAUGGCCCUUAUGUGCAGUACUGAGGCAGGAGGGUGACCUCACAUUGGUGCUGGGCCCAGCAAUGUGUCAAAAUCUUCCCUGUGGUCAAGGCCCAGGCAAAAGUGGAGAAACAUCACCUAGGUUACAAAGCU
rnacentral:lncRNA from 1 species